rnacentral:rRNA from 1 species
CAUAGGAAGUUUGUUCGCAUGAACAAACUUAGAAAGAAUGGCUCUGCUAUCACUUUAUCGAUGGCCUUGCGGUGCAUUAACUAGUUGGCGAGGGUAAACGGGCUCACCAAGGUGAUGAUGCAUAGCCGACCCUGAGAGGGGUAAUCGGCCACAUUGGGACUGAGACACGGCCCAAACUCCUACGGGAGGCAGCAGUAGGGAAUCUUCCGCAAUGGACGCAAGUCUGACGGAGCAACGCCGCGUGAGUGAAGAAGGUUUUCGGAUCGUAAAACUCUGUUGUAAGAGAAGAACAAAUUGUAGAGUAACUGCUACAGUCUUGACGGUAUCUUACCAGAAAGCCACGGCUAACUACGUGCCAGCAGCCGCGGUAAAU